CUAGCAUAACUUUCACACCAAAAGGCCAAUUCAUGUGAUUCUUUUUUGAGCAAAUCUCUUUUGACAUGCUCUAUCAUAAUCCAUCAUCACAUUUCAUCAAAAAUCAUCACAUAAAAAGUGCAUUUUUCAAGUGAAUCAAUUUAAAUUUUGGUGGGAAAAAAGGUCAUUUUGAAAAGUACACAUGAUUUUCACUCCAAACCAAUUGCAAUGGCC
rnacentral:lncRNA from 1 species